GACGAACGCUGGCGGCGUGCCUAAUACAUGCAAGUCGAGCGAGAUUAUUUGAGUGCUUGCACUCGAAUAAUCUAGCGGCGGACGGGUGAGUAACACGUGGGUAACCUGCCCUCAAGCAGGGGAUAACACUUGGAAACAGGUGCUAAUACCGUAUAACAACAAAAACCGCAUGGUUUUUGUUUGAAAGAUGGUUUCGGCUAUCACUUGAGGAUGGACCCGCGGCGUAUUAGCUAGUUGGUGAGGUAAUGGCUCACCAAGGCAAUGAUACGUAGCCGACCUGAGAGGGUAAUCGGCCACAUUGGGACUGAGACACGGCCCAAACUCCUACGGGAGGCAGCAGUAGGGAAUCUUCCACAAUGGACGAAAGUCUGAUGGAGCAACGCCGCGUGAGUGAAGAAGGGUUUCGGCUCGUAAAACUCUGUUGUUAAAGAAGAACAGGUGUAAGAGUAACUGUUUACACCGUGACGGUAUUUAACCAGAAAGCCACGGCUAACUACGUGCCAGCAGCCGCCGUAA
rnacentral:rRNA from 1 species